rnacentral:rRNA from 1 species
GGGGGCAACCCUGACGCAGCCACGCCGCGUGCUGGAAGACGGCCCUAUGGGUUGUAAACAGCUUUUGGUCGGGAAGAACCCCGGAGUUUCGACUCCGGCUGACGGUACCGAUUGAAUAAGCACCGGCUAACUCCGUGCCAGCAGCCGCGGUAAUACGGAGGGUGCAAGCGUUGUCCGGAAUUAUUGGGUGUAAAGGGUGUGCAGGCGGAAGUCUAAGUCGGAGGUGAAAUCUUGCCGCUUAACGGUAAAAGGGCCUUCGAAACUGGAUUUCUUGAGUUCGGAAGAGGUUGGUGGAAUUCGUGGUGUAGCGGUGAAAUGCAUAGAUAUCACGAAGAACACCGGUGGCGAAGGCGGCCAACUGGUCCGAUACUGACGCUGAGACACGAAAGCGUGGGGAGCGAACAGGAUUAGAUACCCUGGUAGUCCACGCUGUAAACGAUGCAUGCUAGUUGUUGUCCCCUUGGGGGCAGUGACGCAGUUAACGCAAUAAGCAUGCCACCUGG